AGCGAACGCUGGCGGCGUGCUUAACACAUGCAAGUCGAACGUGAAAUGUAGCAAUACAGAGUAAAGUGGCGUACGGGUGAGUAACACGUGGGUAAUCUACCAAAGAGCCUGGAAUAACCGACCGAAAGGUUGGCUAAUACUGGAUAGUUCAAAUGAAAUAUAAUGUUUCGAUUGGGAAAGGGAGCGAGCAAUCGCCUUCACUUUUUGAUGAGCCCGCGUCUGAUUAGCUAGUUGGUAGGGUAAUGGCCUACCAAGGCGACGAUCAGUAGCUGGUCUGAGAGGAUGAUCAGCAGCACUGGAACUGAAACACGGUCCAGACUCCUACGGGAGGCAGCAGUGGGGAAUCUUGCGCAAUGGACGAAAGUCUGACGCAGCCACGCCGCGUGAGUGAAGAAGGCCUUCGGGUUGUAAAGCUCUGUCGGAAGGGACAAAAACGUUUAAGGUUAAUAGCCUUAGAUCUUGAUGGUACCUUCAAAGGAAGCACCGGCUAACUUCGUGCCAGCCGCCGCUGUAA
rnacentral:rRNA from 1 species